GGUGAACGCUGGCGGCGUGCUUGACACAUGCAAGUCGAACGGUAUGUGGCAACACAUAGAGUGGCGAACGGGUGAGUAACACGUGGGAACGUACCUUCUGCAGGGGGAUAACUGACCGAAAGGACAGCUAAUACCGCAUAAGACCGAGAGGAGAAAGGUGCAACAGCAUCGGCAGAGGAGCGGCCCGCGGACCAUCAGCUAGUUGGUGGGGUAAGAGCCUACCAAGGCAACGACGGAUAGCCGGCGUGAGAGCGUGGCCGGCCACAAGGACACUGAGAUACGGGUCCUACUCCUACGGGAGGCAGCAGUGCGGAAUUUUAGAUAAUGGAGGCAACUCUGAUCUAGCGACGCCGCGUGCAGGAAGAAGGUCUUCGGAUUGUAAACUGCUGUGGUAAGGGAAAAAUGCCAUGUAGAGUGGAAAGCUACAUGGAGGGAUGGUACUUUACUAGAAAGCCCCGGCUAACUACGUGCCAGCAGCCGCGGUAAUACGUAGGGGGCGAGCGUUACCCGGAAUCACUGGGCGUAAAGGGAGCGUAGGUGGCCUGACAUGUCGACUGUGAAAACCCGGAGCUCAACACCGGACUUGCAGUUGAAACUGCCAGGCUUGAGGACGGUAGAGGAAGACGGAACUGCCAGUGUAGGGGUAAAAUCCUUAGAUAUUGGCAGGAACGCCGGUGACGAAGGUGGUUUUCUGGGCCGGUUCUGACACUGAUGCUCGAAAGCCAGGGGAGCGAACGGGAUUAGAUACCCCGGUAGUCCU
rnacentral:rRNA from 1 species